ensembl:lncRNA
CUCUAAUAAAAUGGAAAACACUGAAGAAAUGGACAGAUUCCUAGAUACGUAUGAAUUACCAAAGUUGAACGAAGAAGAUCUAAAAAUUCUGAACAAUAUGGUAGAGUUAACCUGACUGAACUACACACUUAGAAAAAGGUUAAAAUGUGGCACAGAACAUCAUGGGAGGAGUACGUGGUGGGGGAAGCCAUUCACUACCUCAUAGCUGGGUGUGAAAGACAAGAAGAGGUAGAGGAAGAGGCUGGGAUCCCGUCAUGCUCUGAAUUGGCGGAUUGGCGAUUGCCAAAGAAACAUCCCCAGCCAAUCAAUAAAUAAUAAUGUUGGAG